GGCCCAAUAGCACAGUGGUCAGUGCACCUGUUUCAAGUUACUAGAUGCAUUAUUUGUAAGCAGGAGGACUCUCGUUCAAUUCGGGGUUGGGCCA